GUUAAAUGUUCUUAGUGAACAUAGCGAACUGCUCAGUAACACGUGGAUAACCUACCCUUAGGACCGGAAUAACCCCGGGAAACUGGGGAUAAUACCGGAUAAGCCAUAGACGCUGGAAUGCCCUAUGGUUCAAAGCUCCGGCGCCUAAGGAUGGAUCUGCGGUCUAUCAGGUUGUAGUGGGUGUAACGUACCUACUAGCCGACGACGGAUACGGGUUGUGAGAGCAAGAGCCCGGAGAUGGAUUCUGAGACACGAAUCCAGGCCCUACGGGGUGCAGCAGGCGCGAACACUUUACAAUGCGGGAAACCGCGAUAAGGGAACCCCGAGUGCCAGCAUCAAAUGUUGGCUGUCCAGAUGAUUAAAAAUCAUUUGUUAGCAAGGGCCGGGCAAGACCGGUGCCAGCCGCCGCGGUAACACCGGCGGCCCGAGUGGUAGCCGUUUUUAUUGGGUCUAAAGGGUCCGUAGCCGGUUUAAUCAGUCUUCUGGGAAAUCUGACAGCUCAACUGUUAGGCUUUCAGGGGAUACUGUUAGACUUGGGACCGGGAGAGGUAAGAGGUACUACAGGGGUAGGAGUGAAAUCUUGUAAUCCCUGUGGGACCACCAGUGGCGAAGGCGUCUUACCAGAACGGGUCCGACGGUGAGGGACGAAAGCUGGGGGCACGAACCGGAUUAGAUACCCGGGUAGUCCCAGCCGUAAACGAUGUUCGCUAGGUGUCAGGGACGGUGCGACCGUUUCUGGU
rnacentral:rRNA from 1 species